rnacentral:rRNA from 1 species
CCUACGGGAGGCAGCAGUGGGGAAUAUUGCACAAUGGGGGAAACCCUGAUGCAGCGACGCCGCGUGAGUGAAGAAGUACUUCGGUAUGGAAAGCUCUAUCAGCAGGGAAGAAAAUGACGGUACCUGAUUAAGAAGCCCCGGCUAACUACGUGCCAGCAGCCGCGGUAAUACGUAGGGGGCAAGCGUUAUCCGGAUUUACUGGGUGUAAAGGGAGCGUAGACGGCAGGACAAGUCUGGAGUGAAAUGCCGGGGCUGAACCCCGGAACUGCUGUGGAAACUGGCCAGCUGGAGUGCAGGAGAGGUAAGUGGAAUUCCUGGUGUAGCGGUGAAAUGCGUAGAUAUUAGGAAGAACACCAGUUGCGAAGGCGGCUUACUGGACUGUAACUGACGUUGAGGCUCGAAAGCGUGGGGAGCAAACAGGAUUAGAUAUCCCUGUAGUC